ensembl:snoRNA
UUCCUGUGAUGAGUUUGCCAUGCUAAUACUGAUGCGCCAGACUGACUGUCUCUCUGGGCGUAAAUGAGUUCAGCUCAACUUCUCACACUCGCAGUGUGAUCUGAGGAAA